rnacentral:rRNA from 1 species
GACGGAAGGUGCAAGCGUUGCUCGGAAUCACUGGGCGUAAAGGGUGCGUAGGCGGGUUCUUAAGUCAGAGGUGAAAUCCUGGAGCUCAACUCCAGAACUGCCUUUGAUACUGAGAGUCUUGAGUACGGGAGAGGUGAGUGGAACUGCGAGUGUAGAGGUGAAAUUCGUAGAUAUUCGCAAGAACACCAGUGGCGAAGGCGGCUCACUGGCCCGUUACUGACGCUGAGGCACGAAAGCUAGGGGAGCAAACGGG